rnacentral:rRNA from 1 species
AUAGCCUAACGGCUGAACCAGCAACUUGGAGGAAUGUAUAGCAAUAGCUGAUUGCACCAACAAAUAGUUGAUGCAAUAUUGACUCUGUCAAAUAAAAUUCUAGGUAGAAUUAUGAUAAUGACAUUGUCUGCCUAUAUGUCUUGACCAAAUUACGUGCCAGCAGUCGCGGUAAUACGUAGAAGACUAGUGUUAUUCAUCUUUAAUAGGUUUAAAGGGUACCUAGACGGUAAAUCAAGCCUUCACAGGGACUAAUUUACUAGAGUUACUUACGAGGGGGUAUUAAAGUACUGCAGGUGUAGAGAUGAAAUUCUGUCAUACCUCUUUUCAAAAGAAAAAUUAUGGCACAGGUAUAGGUGAAAGCAUCCCCUUAUGUGAUAACUGACGUUGAAGGACGAAGGCUUUGUGUCGCGAACAGGAUUAGAUACCCCAGUAGUCAAAGCAGAAAAUGAUGAAUGUCAUAGAUUAGAUAAAUAGUUUAUUCUAUAAAUGAAAAUGUAAGCAUUCCACCUCAAGAGUAAUUUGGCAACAUUGGAACUGAAAUCAUUAGACCGUUUCUGAAACCAGUAGUGAAGUAUGUUGUUUAAUUUGAUGAUCCGCAAAAAACCUUACCACAAUUUGAAUAUUUAUAUCUAUCUUUUUUUUUCAUAAAAAAAUAAAAAGGUAAUAUAUUUACAAGCGUUGCACGGCUGUCUUCAGUUAAUGUCGCGAGACUUUGGUUAGUUCCAUUAAAUUAACGUAAACCCUUACUUUAUUUUUAUAUGAAGUAGUUCCCCGCUAUAUUGGAUAUGAUAACAGGGACUAAG